rnacentral:rRNA from 1 species
GACGAACGCUGGCGGCGUGCUUAACACAUGCAAGUCGAACGAUGAAGCCGGAGCUUGCUCUGGUGAAUUAGUGGCGAACGGGUGAGUAACACGUGAGUAACCUGCCCUUGACUCUGGGAUAACUGCUAGAAAUGGUAGCUAAUACCGGAUACGACCCUCGGAGGCAUCUCCAGGGGGUGGAAAGAAUUUCGGUCAAGGAUGGACUCGCGGCCUAUCAGCUAGUUGGUGAGGUAACGGCUCCCCAAGGCGACGACGGGUAGCCGGCCUGAGAGGGUGACCGGCCACGCUGGGAAUGAGACACGGCCCAGACUCCUACGGGAGGCAGCAGUGGGGAAUAUUGCACAAUGGGCGCAAGCCUGAUGCAGCAACGCCGCGUGAGGGAUGACGGCCUUCGGGUUGUAAACCUCUUUUAGUAGGGAAGAAGCGAAAGUGACGGUACCUGCAGAAAAAGCACCGGCUAACUACGUGCCAGCCGCCGCCGUAA